UACGUAGGCAGCGAGCGUUGUUCGGAGUUACUGGGCGUAAAGGGUGCGUAGGCGGCGCGGUAAGUCGGGUGUGAAAUCUCGGGGCUUAACUCCGUAACUGCAUUCGAUACUGCCGUGCUUGAGGACUGGAGAGGAGACUGGAAUUUACGGUGUAGCGGUGAAAUGCGUAGAUAUCGUAAGGAAGACCAGUGGCGAAGGCGGGUCUCUGGACAGUUCCUGACGCUGAGGCACGAAGGUCAGGGGAGCAAACGGG
rnacentral:rRNA from 1 species